UACAGAGGGGGCAAGCGUUAUUCGGAAUUAUUGGGCGUAAAGGGCGCGUAGGCGGCUUUGCAAGUGACGGGUGAAAUCCCUCGGCUUAACCGAGGAACUGCCUGUCAAACUGCAUGGCUUGAGACCGGGAGAGGUGAGUGGAAUUCCCAGUGUAGCGGUGAAAUGCGUAGAUAUUGGGAGGAACACCAGUGGCGAAGGCGGCUCACUGGACCGGUACUGACGCUGAGACGCGAAAGCGUGGGGAGCAAACAGG
rnacentral:rRNA from 1 species